UACGUAGGGUGCAAGCGUUAAUCGGAAUUACUGGGCGUGAAGCGUGCGCAGGCGGUUUUGUAAGUCUGUCGUGAAAGCCCCGGGCUCAACCUGGGAAUUGCGAUGGAGACUGCAAGGCUUGAAUCUGGCAGAGGGGGGUAGAAUUCCACGUGUAGCAGUGAAAUGCGUAGAGAUGUGGAGGAACACCGAUGGCGAAGGCAGCCCCCUGGGUCAAGAUUGACGCUCAUGCACGAAAGCGUGGGGAUCAAACAGG
rnacentral:rRNA from 1 species